rnacentral:rRNA from 1 species
UGGGGGAUAUUGCACAAUGGGCGAAAGCCUGAUGCAGCGACGCCGCGUGGGGGAUGAAGGCCUUCGGGUUGUAAACUUCUUUUGCUCUGAACAAGGCAUGCCUUUGGGGUGUGUUGAGUGUAGGGGUUGAUUAGCGCCGGCUAACUACGUGCCAGCAGCCGCGGUAAUACGUAGGGCGCGAGCGUUGUCCGGAUUUAUUGGGCGUAAAGAGCUCGUAGGUGGUUCGUCGCGUCUGUCGUGAAAGCCAGCAGCUUAACUGUUGGUCUGCGGUGGGUACGGGCGGGCUUGAGUGCGGUAGGGGUGACUGGAAUUCCUGGUGUAGCGGUGGAAUGCGCAGAUAUCAGGAGGAACACCGAUGGCGAAGGCAGGUCACUGGGCCGUUACUGACACUGAGGAGCGAAAGCGUGGGGAGCGAACAGG